UAGUAUUCAAUUGUCAGAGGUGAAAUNCUUGGAUUUAUUGAAGACUAACUACUGCGAAAGCAUUUGCCAAGGAUGUUUUCAUUAAUCAAGAACGAAAGUUAGGGGAUCGAAGACGAUCAGAUACCGUCGUAGUCUUAACCAUAAACUAUGCCGACUAGGGAUCGGAUGAUGUUAAUUUUUUAAUGACUCA
rnacentral:rRNA from 1 species